AAAAUAUUCACAUUUGAUAGAAACAUUUGUUUCGUCAAAGUAAUUGUCCGAAACACAAAACAAGGACAGACAUCACCUCAAAUUCAUCUGAUCCAAACAAUAUACAAUUCUUUCUACAACACCACUAAUUUCAUUUAUACGUAGGCAGCUUCGAUGUACAUUUUCAAUUACUGAUCAUACAAGAGCUCCUCACACGUCACGAGUUCUUCAACAAGGUCGCCUUUGAUAAGAAGUGAUCUCUGGUCGAGCACACUCAACACAAGUAGCAUCCUGUUGAAAUAAAGUACGCCUUAAUCGGGUGGAAAAAUAUCUGUAUAGAAAAAAUAUUGGAAACAAACAAUAAGCUAACAUCAAGAGUGGUUGGAAACAAAAUAUUGCCGCAAGAAGCAUGUACAAUAAUAUGUGAAAGAAGAAUCACCGAUGUUUGUUCAAGCACCCACUUGCUCGAACGAAUGUGUAGACAGCAACAGAAGCACACAUUUGCAAUGCUUGAAGCCGGGAUUCACUACCAUGGAAACAUAUAUAAGUAAAUUUUAG
rnacentral:lncRNA from 1 species